rnacentral:rRNA from 1 species
CAAGUCCUACGGGGGGCAGCAGUAGGGAAUCUUCGGCAAUGGACGAAAAUCUGACCGAGCAACGCCGCGUGAAUGAAGAAGGUUUUCGGAUCGUAAAACUCUGUUGGUAGAGAGGAACGUUAGUGAGAGUGGAAAGCUCAUCAAGUGACGGUAACUACCCAGAAAGGGACGGCUAACUACGUGCCAGCAGCCGCGGUAAUACGUAGGUCCCGAGCGUUGUCCGGAUUUAUUGGGCGUAAAGCGAGCGCAGGUGGUUUAUUAAGUCUGGUGUAAAAGGCAG